GGAGUGAUGGCCGAGUAGGUCGAAGGCGCUCGCCUGCUAAGCGAGUAUACGGGUAACACCGUAUCGACGGUUCGAAUCCGUCUCACUCCGCCA
rnacentral:tRNA from 1 species